rnacentral:lncRNA from 1 species
GGAGGAGAUGCCCACUACGACUAAUAGGGUUCAGGUGGGGCUAGUCUCCCAGGUAGUGGAGGAGAUGCCCACUACUAGUAAUAGGGUUCAGGUGGGGCUAGUCUCCCAGGUAGUGGAGGAGAUGCCCACUACUAGUAAUAGGGUUCAGGUAGAGCUAGUCUCCCAGGUAGUGGAGGAGAUGCCCACUACUAGUAAUAGGGUUCAGGUAGAGCUAGUCUCCCAGGUAGUGGAGGAGAUGCCUGCUACGAGUGAUGGGCUGCAAGUGGGGAGUGAUGAAAGGGAUGUGUUAGAAGCGAG